CUGCGUGGGGGAGAGUGUUCCAAGAUGGCGGCGGGUUGCUGCGGGGUGAAGAAGCAGAAACUGUCCAGUUCGCCCCCCUCUGGCUCGGGUGGCGGUGGUGGCGCCUCCUCCUCCUCCCACUGCAGCGGAGAGAGCCAGUGCCGAGCCGGGGAGCUGGGACUAGGAGGCGCCGGUACGCGGCUCAACGGGCUAGGAGGUCUAGCCGGAGGAGGUAGCGGCAGCGGCUGUACCCUCUCUCCCCCUCAGGGCUGCGGCGGCGGCGGCGGGGGAAUCUCCCUGUCGCCCCCUCCGAGCUGCGGAGUGGGCACCCUACUUUCUCCCCCGGCCGCCGCCACCUCACCCUCGCCCUCCUUGUCGUCCGCCGCCUCGUCCUCAUCGCCCGGCUCCCGGAAGAUGGUGGUGUCAGCGGAGAUGUGCUGCUUUUGCUUCGAUGUGCUCUACUGUCACCUGUACGGAUACCAGCAGCCCCGGACCCCCCGGUUCACCAACGAGCCCUACCCACUGUUUGUAACAUGGAAGAUUGGUCGAGACAAAAGAUUGCGUGGAUGCAUAGGUACUUUUUCUGCCAUGAAUUUGCAUUCAGGACUCAGGGAGUACACACUUACCAGUGCCCUUAAAGAUAGCCGUUUUCCCCCAAUGACAAGGGACGAGCUGCCGCGGCUGUUCUGCUCAGUGUCUCUGCUCACUAACUUCGAAGACGUCUGUGAUUAUUUGGACUGGGAGGUGGGUGUACAUGGCAUUAGAAUAGAAUUCAUCAAUGAAAAAGGAUCAAAACGCACCGCCACCUACCUACCGGAGGUUGCAAAGGAGCAAGGAUGGGACCAUAUUCAGACCAUAGACUCCUUACUGAGGAAAGGAGGAUACAAAGCUCCGAUUACUAAUGAAUUCAGGAAAACCAUAAAACUGACCAGGUACCGUAGUGAAAAGAUGACCUUGAGCUAUGCUGAAUACCUUGCUCAUCGCCAGCAUCAUCAUUUCCAAAAUGGCAUUGGGCAUCCCCUUCCGCCAUACAACCAUUAUUCCUGACACUGAGCCACACAACCAGUCACUGGGCCUCUCUGCAGACCUCUUCCCAGGAGACCCUACCCCUUCUUGGUCUAGCUAUCUCUUUUACUGUACCAUUUUAUGAUGAUAGUUUCCGUUGCCAUGGUGAAGCUUCGACAUCGUCAGUUAAGAUCAUCAUGGUAACGGGGAAACUGAGCACAAGCUGAAUGAUAUUGUCUGCUGCAAGAAAAAAAAAAAAAAAAAAAAAGUAAAUAAAACAAGCAAACCGAAGAGAGACAAAAUAGACCAAUGUUGAUCCAUCUUAUCUAUCAUCUCAUCAGUUCAACAGGCUCCUUGUCCUGGGUGAGCUCAUGGUUAGAAGUUUUUUUGUUUUUAAAGAAAAGAUCUAUUCCAUACGUGUGUGUGUAUACUUACAAUACAUACAUAUGUGUGUGUUUAUGUAUUUAACGGUGCUAAUCAAUCUUGAGCAGGUCACGUGACUGGUCAUGCGGACUCUAAAAUCAUAUCAGAUUUUUAAAAAUUCUUGAUAUAUGCAGAUGUUAUACAGAUUUUCUUACCAGUGUAAUAAUGUUAUACUGAAGAAAUAACCAUCCUGCAGGCUUCAGAGGACGAGGUCAGCAAUAUUUCCCACCGUGGCUUGGGGGAAAAGGAUAGUUUUGUCUCCUUUUGUGUUCAAAUUAAUGCACAGUGCAUUUGUGUGUCUAAGUAGCUGUUGACUAAAAGACUUUGUAGUGUAAAGGGUGUUAUACAAACUUGUAAUGGUGUGCUUCAAACAAAUGCUAGACCCUUUCACCUUUGUCGUAUAUUACAAAGCUGUUAAAUAUGUAGUUUGAAUUAACUUUGAACAUGUUGAAAUAUGUAGCAUGUGUUUUUAACUCAGACGAAGAUUCUGACUGCACAGGUUGUGUUCUAGCCAGUUGUGGUUUAUUUGUGCAGAAACACAAAUGUGAAUUGCACUCUUGUCACCAGAAUAUUGUGUAAGUUCAGCGAUCUCUAAACAGCUCAGAAGUAAUACUUGAACUUCAUUUGAGUAGCACAAAGUUUACAUAGCCCCCCUUUUAAAUGUUAAUUAGUUCCAUUUAUGUUUUCCGUUUUCAGAUGCAACUGGGUAUUUUUUUCCUCUUGGAAAAUAGUACGUAUUUUACUUUGGUAUGUAGCAAAAGGCUUCCAUUUCUGGAAGGGUUUUCUUGUUCUUAAACAAGGUCAGCCAGGUACCAGAUUCUAGAAGAACAAUUGCCCCUCCCCCUCCCCCCCAUUAAGUGGCCUUCUGACUGCACGAGAAAAUGUGCUACUGCCCUGCCCGCUCCAGUCUCCGGUGUGAUUGAUGGAGGAAGUGCAAGGCUUGCUCUUUACCCCCCGCCCCACUUAAAGCAGUUAUAAGAGUUUCAGUCCAGAGCAUACAGCCCCAGUGUGCAGCACACCGGAAGUUUGUAUACUGGCCUCUGUUCAUGUCUUCAAAUGUGCAGGAAAUCCGAAACUGUCAUCUGGAAUAGGCUCCAUCUCUUGUGUGUGUUAGAUCAAACCAAAGAAGCCCCCAGCCAUGCCCAAAUGCUGCUCCAAAAGCCUGCCUUCCAGUCCUUACAAAAACCUUGCAGGAUUAAAUGUGUUAACUUUUUUAUUUUUGUACAGUUUCUAAGUGAUUUUUGCUAGUGAUGUUAAAUUGAAUUAAGUUUAUUUGAGGGGUGUGAGCACCUCCUCCAUUUAAAUAAACUGGUGACUUUCCUUUUAUUUUAUAAAAGCAGAAACCCGUUGUGUGCCUCUCGAUUUAAGGGUUUCUGAUUACAUUAUUCUUAAGACCAGCAUUGAUCCUUUAUAUACAAAGAUAUGUUUUCCUUGUUUUUUAUUACUGUUUCAGAAGAAAAUAAACCUUUUAUUUUGCUCUGGACCCAGUAACUGCGCUGGUACAUAGACGCACUGAGAAAACAAACUUUUGUAACCACCUCUGACUGUUUUUGUAUAUGAAAGUUGAUUACUUUUGAAAUAUUUGGAUCGAGUUUCUAAGUUAUUUUAGUGUUUUAUAUGUUCCCCCAAAUUACUUUGAAUCGGUCACCAGCAUAAUGAGUUCUUGGUGAUGCAGUGGUUGAGACUUGUAAUGAGCAAAGCUACCUGGAGUAGCUCUUCUCCUCCUCCCUUUCUUAGUACCCUGUUUUUUGAUUACAGUAAGACAUCACAGAUUACCUGAAACCCCUUCAAGUAUAACUAGAUCCUCCUUCCUUCCACAUUUAAUUGCUUAAUAGUUUGAAGAAACUAUUGGAAAUGGGCAUUUUAUAUGACAUGUAUGGCUUUAAAAUAUUACAAAUGAAGAAAAAGAAAAAUGGGAAGGUUUAUGUGGGUCUGUAAGGUAUGGCUGUGGAAAGAUAUUGUAGUAGUUUUGACACUAUUGUUAUUACCUUUAAAAUCAUU